rnacentral:rRNA from 1 species
UCGAACGAGAACGGUCCUUCGGGAUGUCAGCUAAGUGGCGGACGGGUGAGUAAUGUAUAGUUAAUCUGCCCUUCAGAGGGGGAUAACUACUGGAAACGGUAGCUAAUACCCCAUAUACCUUCUGGCUUAAUGCUAGAAGGGAAAUGUCUUUUCGCUGAAGGAUGAGACUAUAUGGUAUCAGGUAGUUGGUGGGGUAAGAGCCCACCAAGCCUAUGACGCCUAGCUGGUCUGAGAGGAUGAUCAGCCACACUGGAACUGAGACACGGUCCAGACUCCUACGGGAGGCAGCAGUGGGGAAUAUUGCACAAUGGAGGAAACUCUGAUGCAGCAACGCCGCGUGGAGGAUGACACAUUUCGGUGCGUAAACUCCUUUUAUAUGGGAAGAUAAUGACGGUACCAUAUGAAUAAGCCCGGCUAACUCCGUGCCAGCAGCCGCGGUAAUACGGAGGGUGCAAGCGUUCUCGGAAUCCUGGCGUAAAGCGCGCGCGGCGGCUUAGUUGAUG